AUGGAACUGAUAAUUGGUGCAGUGUUCCAAGUAUGUAUGGGAGCCAGAUCUUCUCCCGGGGUUCCACUCUUCAAACGGUUCCAGGAAUACUGGGGAUUUAUUGACACAGCCAAGUAUGAACCGGGGAUUGCAGCUGAUGAUGUGGCAGGUCUUGUGGAAGACAUUAAGCAAAGCACCAUUGAUUACGCCAACAAGCAUCUUGAACAGAGUCUACCAAGAGAUGACUAUAAAGAAUUCUUGGAACUCGUGAUUGUGUUUCUCGGUGCUGCUCCUGCACGAGGAGUGCGAUUCAUGUCACCUGGUGCAAUGCACCACGCCCGUUGGAUGUCCAAAGUUCUAUACAGUCUCAAGAUCUGGAUGUUCAAGGCUCAGUUCAAACUGACUCCCGCAGAAGAGAGAGGGUUCCGUGAUGUGUGUGUGUUCACAGUACGUGUUUACCUGAAUGCCUGGAUCUCUGCUCCUCAGGCAUCAGGUGCUCCUUCCAGUGACCUGCUGCUACUUAAGUCACUGCUUGAAUACUCAUCAAUCCAUUCAGCCAUUUCAAAGUCAACAUCACGCAAGUUUUCCAAACACUUAUGGUACUUGUCACAGGAACUUGUUGGCUUGGCUUUCUUUGACAGUCGGGUCAGUUCGUCAACCAAGAGACGGAUGGUUAGUGCCAUGCAGAAUGAAGAAAACCAAGAGCACGAGCAUUCCAAGCCAAUCACUGUUGAUCUGGAUUCAUUCAAUGACAAGAAUUUAGAAGACUUUGUCACAGCAAAGUCAAUGAAACUGAUCCGAAUUAUGGAACUUCCAGAUGGAUUUCUCGCGGUUGAUCCAGACUUGUGGCAGGACAGAGAUGAUUACAAGCAGGCUACAGAAGCAGUCAAGUCUCUUAAUGUUGUCAAUGACCAAGCUGAACGUGGAGUGGCACUCAUUCAGGAGUACAGUGGAUUACUAACCUGUGAUGAAACGCAGCUGCAAUUCCUGCUGCAAGUUGUUGAGGACCAUUGCAGAUUGUAUCCUGAUAGCAGGAAACAGACUCUGUCCGGGCUGCCAUGA
rnacentral:lncRNA from 1 species